rnacentral:rRNA from 1 species
UCCGGGGCGAAGGGCGGCGUGCUAUAAUGCAGUCGUACGCUUCUUUUUCCACCGGAGCUUGCUCCACCGGAAAAAGAGGAGUGGCGAACGGGUGAGUAACACGUGGGUAACCUGCCCAUCAGAAGGGGAUAACACUUGGAAACAGGUGCUAAUACCGUAUAACAAUCGAAACCGCAUGGUUUUGAUUUGAAAGGCGCUUUCGGGUGUCGCUGAUGGAUGGACCCGCGGUGCAUUAGCUAGUUGGUGAGGUAACGGCUCACCAAGGCCACGAUGCAUAGCCGACCUGAGAGGGUGAUCGGCCACAUUGGGACUGAGACACGGCCCAAACUCCUACGGGAGGCAGCAGUAGGGAAUCUUCGGCAAUGGACGAAAGUCUGACCGAGCAACGCCGCGUGAGUGAAGAAGGUUUUCGGAUCGUAAAACUCUGUUGUUAGAGAAGAACAAGGAUGAGAGUAACUGUUCAUCCCUUGACGGUAUCUAACCAGAAAGCCACGGCUAACUACGUGCCAGCAGCCGCGGUAAUACGUAGGUGGCAAGCGAAAAACCACCACCAAGUGAACCGGGGUCAGUUCUCCCUUCGG